rnacentral:rRNA from 1 species
UACGGAGGAUGCGAGCGUUAUCCGGAUUUAUUGGGUUUAAAGGGUGCGUAGGCGGGCUGUUAAGUCAGCGGUAAAAUCGUGGAGCUCAACUCCAUCCAGCCGUUGAAACUGGCGGGCUGGAGUUGGAGAGAAGUACGCGGAAUGCGCGGUGUAGCGGUGAAAUGCUUAGAUAUCGCGCAGAACCCCGAUUGCGAAGGCAGCAUACCGGCGGCGAUCUGACGCUGAGGCACGAAAGCGUGGGUAUCGAACAGG